CUGGCCCUUUAAGACGCGCACUGUCGCCAUGGUUACAAGCAGGAAGUAACAGAGCGUCUUUAGCAUGUCAACAUCCGCGACUCCCAGCAUCGCAUCCUCUCUGUUCCUCUUUCUUUCUUCAGCUGUCAUCCCCUCCGGCUCCUCUCUGACAGAUAACUAAGAUGAGCGGGAACACUGAGGACAUCAAACCUGUGAACUGCACCAUCAAACCUCCGGUCUACCUGCAGAUCGGAGACACCAAAACCGACCCGGCUCACUCUGGAGUUUGUGUUGUGGACGUCACGCUCCCGUUUGGAAAGCCUGUUAAUAUCGAGGAGAUCACCUUUAAGAACUACUACACAGCAUAUGUGACUGUACGCUUGUUGAGGAGGAGCCCCGGACAGGAGACUCCUGCUAAGUGGAGCACAGCUCUGAGAGACCUGCCUCUGAUGGACAACCCCCACACAGAGAGAGGCUCCCAGGACUACUUCUCCAUCCACAGGACACAGAUGCAGGUGGAGCCGGACCACGUGGCGUCUGUGAGGCUGAUCCUGAGACAGCCGUCCUCCGCCUGGCUCACCUUCAGCCUCGAGGACGUCAAAAUAUACCCUCACAUGGAGCCGGACCCAGAGAAGGAGGUUUCUGAUUGGCUGUCCGACCUGACGCUGGUGGACCAGCACCCGGACCUGGAGGGCCUCCCAGACCCUCAGACUGUGUCGUCCAGUAUCCAGCAGAUGUGGGCUCUGACUGAGGUGAUGCAGACCAACCAGACUACAGCCUCCAUCGGAAGAUUUGACGUGCUGAGACUGUGAACGUCCUGCAGUGGUGACGGGAGUCCAAAAACAAGCCCGAGAUGAAGCGUCGUUACACGGAGAGAGGAAACGCUGCACGUACCUCUGAGGAGCAGGAUGUGGGUGAUGACGUCGUGAGGUGAGGAGAAAGAGAAAGAGCCACAGUAACGUCACCAGAGCCUUUCUGAAGAGUUGAGAGAUUUUCAACUCGAAGCGAUCAGAGCGGCCGUUCAAAGAAGACGGAUCGCUGGGCACAAAUGUGACACGCCAGAAUGAAACUGGAUCAGAAAGGCGAACUCAUCUCCUGGAGUGAAAGGAGUCAAUCAUCUAUUUUUAGCAGGUGGACGGAUGUUACGACAUCAACCUGCUGUCUCUGACGUAACGUGGCUGACGGUGGACGGAGCUCAGUCCGCGGAGGCCUCGAGGAGCAGAGGACGUGAUGACGAAGAUACAAAAUACGAGAACAGCUGCAGAGAAGAAGACAGACACAGUAGUUUGUGUGCAGCUAAUGAGAAAACUAUCAUGACUUAAUUUAUUUACAUGCCUUUUUAUUUAAACGCUGACUUCUUCAAAGGGCUGCUGAGGUCAAGUUUAAGAUGUUUCACUUGUUGUGAUGAUAAUGUUCAGAGCCAAGAAAUGCAUAAUGUCUGUCGGGACCCCACAAGUGUUGGAGAGCAGAUGUGUGUUUGUGUGAAUUAGAGUGAGACCUGACAGGAGGAGGCGGACGAGCACUGUGAGGACGUUAAUCCUUCAUGUUGUUAUCUGCAGAUCUUCUUGUCACUCGUCAAUAAAAACUAAUAUCCUUGUC